CCUACGGGAGGCAGCAGUGGGGGAUAUUGCACAAUGGGGGGAACCCUGAUGCAGCGACGCCGCGUGGGUGAAGAAGCGCCUCGGCGCGUAAAGCCCUGUCAGCAGGGAAGAAAAUGACGGUACCUGAAGCAGAAGCCCCGGCUAACUACGUGCCAGCAGCCGCGGUAAUACGGAGGGGGCAAGCGUUAUCCGGAUUUACGGGGUGUAAAGGGGGCGCAGACGGCGAUGCAAGCCAGGGGUGAAAGCCCGGGGCCAAACCCCGGGACUGCUCUUGGAACUGCGUGGCUGGAGUGCAGGAGGGGCAGGCGGAAUUCCUGGUGUAGCGGUGAAAUGCGUAGAUAUCAGGAGGAACACCGGUGGCGAAGGCGGCCUGCUGGACUGCAACUGACGUUGAGGCCCGAAAGCGUGGGGAGCAAACAGGAUUAGAUACCCGAGUAGUC
rnacentral:rRNA from 1 species